GAGCACGUAGGUGGGUUUGUAAGUCAGAUGUGAAAGCCUUCUGUUCAACGGGAGAAUUGCAUCUGAAACUGCUAAUCUUGAGUAUAGGAGGGGAGAAUGGAACUUCUGGUGGAGCGGUGAAAUGCGUAGAUAUCAGAAGGAACGCCGGCGGCGAAAGCGAUUCUCUGGCCUAUUACUGACACUCAGUGUGCGAAAGCUAGGGGAGCAAACGGGAUUAGAUACCCCGGUAGUCCUAGCCGUAAACGAUGGGCACUAAGCAGAGGGGAUUACCUAUGUUCUCUCUGCCGUAGCUAACGCAUUAAGUGCCCCGCCUGGGGAGUACGGCCGCAAGGCUAAAACUCAAAAGAAUUGACGGGGGCUCGCACAAGCGGUGGAGCAUGUGGCUUAAUUCGAUGCAACGCGAAAAACCUUACCGGGGCUUGACAUGAUAGAAGUAGGAACCUGAAAGGGGGACGAACGGUAUCCAGUCCGUAGCUAUUACAGGUGUUGCAUGGCUGUCGUCAGCUCGUGUCGUGAGACGUUGGGUUAAGUCCCCUAACGAGCGAAACCCUUGUUUUUAGUUACCAGCGGGUUAUGCCGGGUACUCUAGAAAGACUGCCGUCGUCAAGACGGAGGAAGGUGGGGAUGACGUCAAGUCAUCAUGGCCCUUAUGCCCCGGGCUGCACACGUGCUACAAUGGUCGGUACAGACGGAAGCGAAGCCGAGAGGUGAAGCGAAUCC
rnacentral:rRNA from 1 species